AUUGAACGCUGGCGGCAUGCCUUACACAUGCAAGUCGAACGGUAACGCGGGGCAACCUGGCGACGAGUGGCGAACGGGUGAGUAAUGUAUCGGAACGUGCCCAGUUGUGGGGGAUAACUGCUCGAAAGAGCAGCUAAUACCGCAUACGACCUGAGGGUGAAAGCGGGGGAUCGCAAGACCUCGCGCAAUUGGAGCGGCCGAUAUCAGAUUAGGUAGUUGGUGGGGUAAAGGCCCACCAAGCCAACGAUCUGUAGCUGGUCUGAGAGGACGACCAGCCACACUGGGACUGAGAAACGGCCCAGACUCCUACGGGAGGCAGCAGUGGGGAAUUUUGGACAAUGGACGCAAGUCUGAUCCAGCCAUGCCGCGUGCGGGAAGAAGGCCUUCGGGUUGUAAACCGCUUUUGUCAGGGAAGAAAAGGGCGACUCUAAUACAGUUGCCUCAUGACGGUACCUGAAGAAUAAGCACCGGCUAACUACGUGCCAGCAGCCGCCGUAACAC
rnacentral:rRNA from 1 species